rnacentral:lncRNA from 13 species
AACACCAAUGAAGGGAUAUCAGCGGACCAACAGCAAAUUUAAACUCUAUGUCAUUGUUACCUUGGAUGCUUCCAAAUGAUGUCUUCUAUCCUCAUUCUUGGACUUGGUAGCUAAAAUUUUCUUUGGGAUUAUACUAAAGAAAUUAGACUCAUCCCUGUUAAAUUUAAUCUUCUUACAUUGGACCCAUUUUCCAGCCAGCUGAAAUCAUUUUAGAAACUGAUUCUAGAAUCUAAUAAUUUCAGAAUUCCUUCAAAACUUGUGUCAUUCAUAAAUUUGCAAGUCAUGAAGUCUCUGAUUCACUUAAGAGUCUGUGGCACAAACAUAAAGAACAUCCCUUCAUGUUACAUUCUGAAUCUUAGGUGGAGUGCUGCACCUGACCUCAAUAGCUGCUUCUGUUGUUGUACUGCUCUGAGCUGGGUCUAAGGGCUGGCACAUGCAUGAGGCCCAGGGAACUCACUGUGGCCUCAAGCCUCGGACUUGACAGCAGUGAUGCCAGUAUACAAAGUCUCUGGACAUCCUCAGUGAUUAGCACAGUGCCCUGCAUGGAGAAAAUACGCCAACAGCCACCAAAUUGAUGCUCCACAGAUGCCUUUAUUUCCAGCCUCCUGGCAAAUGAGCAGGGUGGAUAGAUGAAUCAAGCUUAACAUCGUCUCCAGCUCAGGAUAAUUCCCACUCAUAUAUGAGGAAGCAAAGCAACUGCAAUUAUUCCCCACACGCCCUUGCCUUCUGCUGACUCAAGAGGCUUGUGUAUUUUGCCUAAUUUGUUUCUUAUCAUCCAGGACUUUUACUCAGGGUUCUGUCAUUGUUAGGUUGGAUGUUUGAGAGUCUGUGAUGUAGAAACUGAAGAAUCAAAAGAAAGUGACAAAACUGGAAGGCAUCAUGGAAGGGACAAGGGGCAUCAGGCAGCCGGCUGUCCUAAACGAAAUACAGUAACUAGUCAGGAUAAGUAAGAAGACUACACGGAAUAAUACAUUCAACACCUACCUACCAAGCAUGUGGUCUUCAACAGGCACUGUGGAUAGGACAAUACCGGAAGUGCCUUGCCUGCUCCUGAGCAGCUCAGAAGUGUGGCCCAGAAAAGCCAAAAGAUUAGACAAGGCUAGUAUACAUCAAAUAAUCUGGUGGACAAGAAUGAACAGAUGGAUAUAGGACUGGGUAAACUGAUGGAGGAGGCGACUGGUAGUGUUGAAGACUCUCCAAGCCACAUACUGGAGUAGACAUCAAUGAACUAGAGAGGCCAGCAACCAUUUUCUGCAAAAGGCCAGGUAGUAAAUGUUUUAUGUUGUGCAGCCAAUAUGGUCUCUGUCGCAUCUCUUUAACUUUUGUUGUAGCGCAAAAGUAGCCACAUGCAAUAUGUAAAUGAGCAGGCACAGCUGUGUCACAAUAACAAUUUACCAAAACAUGGGGUGAGCUGGAUUUGGAAUAUUGGCAGUACUUUGCCAACCCCUGAACUCGAACACCAAAACUU